rnacentral:rRNA from 1 species
CAGCAGCCGCGGGAAUACGAAGGGGGCUAGCGUUUUUCGGAUUUACUGGGCGUAAAGGGCGCGUAGGCGGACUGAUAAGUCAGGGGUGAAAUCCCAAGGCUCAACCUUGGAACUGCCUUUGAUACUGUUUGUCUUGAGUUCGAGAGAGGUAAGUGGAACUGCGAGUGUAGAGGUGAAAUUCGUAGAUAUUCGCAAGAACACCAAUGGCGAAGGCGGCUUACUGGCUCGAUACUGACGCUGAGGCGCGAAAGCGUGGAGAGCAAACAGGAUUAGAGACCCCAGUAGUCCCUGUCUCUUAUAC